UUUUUUUUUUUUUUUUUUUUUUUUUUUUUUUUUUUUUUUUUUUUUUUUUUUUUUUUUUUUGAACUCAAGAAUUUUAUGGAGA
rnacentral:ribozyme from 1 species